CCACCAUGAAGUGUCUGUGCUCUCUGACUGUCUUUGUCAUCAUGAUAGUGAACUGCGCUUCACAGUCAAUAGCACCACUGGAUAACAAAACACAGGUUCAUGCUCUUGAAGACGAGAGAGUUAUUCUCUCCUGCACGUAUAAUGGUAGAGUGAGUAAUCUGCAGUGGUUUCGUCAGUAUCCUGGAUCCAGACCAGAGUUUUUGCUGCUGAAAUAUCCAGGAGCAAGUGGUGUAGUCCCUGCAGACCCUCCUUUCCCUCGACUGGAUGCCAAAGUGAAUGGAAGUAGAGUGAAUCUGUUGAUCUCCUCUGCUGCAGUAUCAGACUCUGCACUCUACUACUGUGCUCUGGAGCCCACAGUGACAGGAAACCCAGCUACACUGUACAAAAACUUACUGCAGGAGGAUGCUUUGCAUUUGGUAAUAGGUCUGUAG